CUAGUAUCUAAUAUCUGACUCCUGAUAUUAUGAGCACCCUCUGGCCAAUGGCAUGCCUGGAUGAAUGGUUUCCAGCGACUGUAAUUCUUUGUUUACAGCAGUGAUCUUCAGAGAGCUGCCUGACUGACACCAUGCAUGUGCAGCUCAAAUUUGAAGUGAUGGCAGGAGUCACUUUACAGACUUCAGCAUUUACUUCAUUCUGUAUUCCUGAAAGGCCGUCAUGUUAACAUGUGUGGAAUGCUAACGUCUAGUAACAUCUGAAUUUUCAGCAAUGGCUAAGAUGACCAAUCCAACUACUUUUUAAAAGGGAGAGGAGGAAUGCUUCAGCAACUUUCAAAUGUGCACAAGGAGUGUGGCUUCAAAAGGAUCCACUGAAACAAAUAUGCCUUUUUUUAAAGUCUGAGUUGCAUUAGAUACGACUUCCCAUCUGGGGGUUGGCAUAGGACUGUGAACAGAGAUCAAACUUUCAAUCCAAUCUCCGUGAGUGGGGUGAAUGGAAGUGGAAGCACGGAGCAGAUAUUUUUAAUGUAAGAGACGUAAGUAAGGCCCUGAGGUGGGGAAGAGCAGAGGAGGAGUCCGAUACACUGACGGGAAGAGUCAUGGAGAUAAGCCGGGAAGGGAAAAGCAAGGGCGUCUCGAGCAGGUGGGAAUGGGGUCUGACGGCAGACAUAGAGGAUUGGCAUCUGAGAAGCCUCUUUUGAUCACUAGUAUCAAAGCUAAAUGAUUAUCUGGAGGAAUAAGAACUCAUCUAGGA